UGACAGUUUAGGAAUAAUGGUGUUGGAGGUGAUGACAGAUGAAACAGACUCAGAAAUACCAGAGCAGGGCCAUAUGCUUGCUUUUGGAAAUAAUAACAGAGGUCAGCUUGGCAUAUAAACCAAAGGACCGGUUAAAAAAUGAUCUGUGUUAAAGCUCUUAAAGGGGAGAGAGCUCAGUUUGCCUGUGGGACUGAUCAUACACUCGUCUGAACUUGAGAGCUCAUCUGUACAGUUUGGCCCAGAAUUUUGCAGUCUUCCUCCUCCUACAACUGCUUUACUGCACUAGCCCUGACAGGCAACAUCUACAACCCAGAUCUCCGACAGACACUCCUAAAUGCUUGAAAAAAAAUAUGUGUCUGUGGAAUCUGUUUUUACCUCAAUCACACUGCCAGCCAGGACAUCUCCAUUAAUCUAAAACGCAAGAAUCCCAGGUCCGGAGAUCCAAAGAAUUUUUAUCGUGGUGGAGGAACAUUCUUCUGCUACAGCCUCAUGAAGCUAAAUGCAUUCCAAAACAUAUAAAAAAACCUAUCCAGAGUACAAAUAAUAGCUCUAAAAGUCAACGAGAGGUCAGAUUAUCUUCAGAUUGAAUGUCAGCUAAGGAAAAAGAGGGAAGCAGUGAAACAUGCAGUACUAAUAUUGAUCCAAGGGACAAGAUUUCAAUAGCAGACAAAUUUAGUAAAGUUCAAUAUGCAGAUUCCAGGGGUCAAGAGGUCACUGCUCUUGUUUAGAUGGAGCAGGAGACCACGUCAAGUCCAAUCGACAUUCAAAAGACUUUCUCCAGAAGUUAUACAGUUCAGGAAGUUGAACAAGUUAAAACAACGCCCACAAAAGUUCAAGAGGCCAAAUCUCCCAAAAUCAAAGAGUGGGGUUUACAUAAAGGGUCAAGUCACCAGUCAAGGUUCAAGAUGUGCCCUCCGGUGCCAUAGAUGUUAGCAGAGUUGAAUCAACACCUCAGGCAGAUGCUCAAAGAGACAUCAAGACAUCCCUUGGAAAUGCUCAAGAGGUCAGAUCAACACUGAUUGACACACAAGAACAGCGAAACUCAACACCAGUAAAAAUUCCAGCUAAAAUGCAAAGCACCCAAAAAAAAAAGGUAAAGAAAAGAGUGAUGUUGACACAGAAGAAAGCCCAAGUGGACUUAAAAUAAAAAAAAAAUAAAAAAUAAGAGAUCAGAUGUGGAAAGAGCCCCUAUGUCAGAAACAUUACCCAAAACACUCAACCAUCUAUCAGUUUCCAUACCCACACAAAUUUCUGGAGCAAAAAAAAAAAAAAAAGGAAAUCCUGUGGAGUCUGAGAACAUACUUCUAACUUAAACCAGCAGUUCUAGCACAAUAACAACAAAAGUCAAAAGGGAAAAUGAU